GGCUAUCCACGACUGCGCAAUCCAUGGCAUGCAGAAGCCUCCUUCCGUCUCGCUCCUUCCUCGCGAAGCAAACCAACUGCCCAGAUCCAAACCAAACCCCCACCCAAAAUCCUCCCCCACGAUUUCCCCUCUCGAAACCCUAGCCUCACUCCAUGCCCUCCCGGCACCCUCGCCGCGGCUGACCACCACGAUGAGGCCGCUCCGCCGGGUGCUCCUUCCGCUCGUCCUCCUGUCGGGCCUCGCUUUCCGCGGGGUCCGCUUCGACGAUGCUGCUGCCGCCCUGGCCCCGCUCCUCCUCCCGUCCCCUCUACCGCCGCUGCCCCUCGUGCUCCCCGCUGGCGGAGGGCGAGAGGAUGAGUCGGACUCCACGGAGAUCGUCGCGGUGCCGCCGCCACUACCGCCUAGGGAGCUCCUGGUCAGGCCACCGCGCCGCCAAUCCGUGCCGACGAACAUGGUGACAGAGGAGACGGAGCCAGCCGUCAGAUGCGACGCUGAGAGGAAAGGAUGAGAUGGAUAGAAGAAGGGGAGGCAUGAGCAAGAGGAGAAGAGGAGGUCGCACCACCCAAGUACUCUUUUCCAUCCAGCGGAGGUCACACCGUUCCCUCUUCUCAUCGGCGACUACAACGACGGCGGCUGCUUCUUCAAUGGGGGAGACGAGGGCUGCGAGGGUGGCCUCAGGGCGAGCUAGACUCGUCAACCACCGAUUCAACGAUGAAGAAGGGUGAUGCGAUUUGGAAUUAAACCUCAUGAUUGCACGUGUUGCCGCAACAACAUCUUACUAAUGAGGAGUAGACGGGAUUUCUCUCCCAGCUGGAGAUGAAAAAAACAUGGAGAGCAUUAGGUAUGUUUAUCUCUCUAUUGUUUAGGUUCCCUUGUAGAUGAAAGUUGCAAUGUCACUAGAUAAUUUCUACUCAAGAGUUACACUAGACAUGGCAUGCUUUUGGCCUCUAGCCGGUACCCUACAUUUUACACUUCUAUGUUGGUGAUUUUUCAUUUUUCUAUUACUGCCAACGGUUAAUUAGCUGAUCAUAUUUGUGUCUAAUUUUCUCAUUGUUGUCAUUGAAGACAUAUAAUGAGUGGUUGGCCUCCUUUCUUAGUUUUCUUUGCAAUAUUUGUGUGUAAAAAUGAUUAAUGAGAUGAUCAUAAGUAAUGGGAUAUAGUGGAAUACAUUGCUGCAAUAACUCAGCAACUACAGUUUCUGCAUGUUGAAUUACUUUCUACUUCAGGCAAUCCAAGCGAUGGUAAGUCCUUUUUAUGGUGUCUUCCUUUAGUUUUCUGAUUUACUCUCCUGUAUAAUUCCUUCAAAUGAAGGAACAAAGAAAAUAUUAGUGUUGGUAUAUGAUUGAUAAUUUACAGGGACAUGGUGGCUUUUUCGUGGUGGAUCCAUUUCUCCCUACUAUGUUGCCUAAUUGACUUCCCUUCGGUUGCCAUCACAGGCCUGUCUGUAGCUAGCUAGAUCUCAGUGACACCAGCUGUAUGGACCUGCAUUUUUUUGAUAAUUUCCUACACCAGAUUUAUGCCUUCAAGUACAGCUAAGGUUAAGCCACACAAACUUCCGUUAGUUCUCGAUACUUUUUUUGUACGAGACUUUGGAUCAAUAUAGUCUGCAGCGAUGCUCAUGCUUCUUAUAUUUACUUCUAAUUCCAAAUAUGGAUAUGCUUUUUAUUUAUGCCUACUAAAGUAUGUGUGUUAAACAAAGCAUGGAAUUUGUGUUUUUUCAGAUUAUUGUUGAUUUAGUUGUACACACGUAGUUAAAAUCUGCACACAUGUACUAAAACUGGAUCAUAUUUCAGUGGAUAAUUUAGGUACCCAUUCGAAGUCAACUUAUUUUUCGCCUUGGGAGUUCAAGCUAUUCAGAACUCAAAGAGUAUUUCUAGUGAGUCUCUUUUCAUCUAAUUGAAGAAGGUGACAUUUUACCCUAAGCAAAUUGAACUUCAUAUUUACAAAGAUAUUAGAAUUGGGCAACCAGAUUCAUCUCUACUUUGGUUACUCUACAAAGUGCAGAUUUUCUUCAUCUAUAUAUUGGAUACCUUCAGUUCUACGAUAUUGUAUUAGAUAUAUGUAGUGGUAACCUAUGUUUCAGUCAGCUAUUACUUCACAUCCCCGUCUCUCCUUAUUUAGUUAUCUGCAAGUAAUUGCUCUUUCUUGUAUCGAUUCCUCACAGUUCAUGGGAUCCUAGAUGACUUGAUAUAGUACAUAUCUCGUUUGAUAUUAAAUUUAUUCCAUGAUAUAGAGGUACUCAUAACUGUAAUUGGGACCAUACAUGUAAACUCUCUGUUCUUGAUUUCUACCUUGUCAUACAGAUACCAUAAGGUGCCCGUGAAUUUUAUUCUUUUGAGUUUCUCUUAGUGAACUUCCUUUGGUCGUGGGCUGUUUGAUUUUGUUUCUAGCUUCUCCUAAAAGGUAAGAAGCCGAUAGAAAAUUAAGCUAUUGUAUAUUGGAAUUACUGAAUAACUUAUUGAUUUUGCGCCACUGCAGUUGGUAGACUGAACAACUUUAACACAGUUUGCACAUGAUUUCUUCUUAAUGCUGUAACAUAUUCAUUUGUUGUUAAACUUCUUGUGAAACUUUUUGGUGUUUGUUAGCCAGUAUGCUUGUUAGUAAUAAUUUGUUUCGCUAUUCAUGUUUUAUAUUUAAUCUGCUUUCUUUAUGAUCUCUUCUAAAUCAAUGAUAAUGAUACAUUGCAAGUUCCUAUUAGAUUUUCUUGUUUGCGAAUGCCAUGUUGUGUAGUUAUGAUACUGGGCGCCAGAUUCCCUAUUCCUAACAGUUGACUCAUGAUAGCUAUAUGUUUUUAGGAAUGGUGCAAUAUAAUUUAUAUGUGUACUCUUGUAAGAUGUAAAGAAAGUAAUUUACUCAGUACAGUUCAUUUCCAGUUAUGUCAUCCGUAUUGAAUUCUUAGCGCGGACACCUUUUGCCCAAUGUAAUCCUGUAAACUACACGAAAAAUUGAACUGACGUGACUCAUGAAUCUGGGAUUUAAGUCAACAUUGCUUGGGGGUACAUAUGGCUGGUAUGGUUCUUGUCAUACUAGCUAUUGUCUUGCGCCCCAAAUUAGUUAUCUCGGAUCUAUUGAGAUUCACAUGCAUUCGUAUUAGUAUGUAGAUACAUCUGAAUCUAGACAAUUAUGAGUCAACUAAUUUGGGACCAAGGAAGUAGUUUACUUUUGGUCUAAAGGUUUAUGUGAUCGUUCAAAGAUAUGACACCUAUUGUUUAUGCAAAUAAAUGAUAAAAUUAAGAUGAAUGGCGAAGAGGUGUAAAUUAGGGUUUUCAUCCCUUUAGUUCUUCUUGCAGCAAUCUUUGAUGGUUUUUUGUGUUCAAUGGUAUAAUACUAUAAUCACCAGCUUAGUUCGAAUCAGGGUAUCUAUCUUGCUUUUAGCUUUUCCGUAGCAGAUGUCCCUGUGCUUUUUUAUUUCUAUUGGCAAUUCCCUUUGAUAUCGUAGGCUUUCAUGGCAUGCCUGUCAUCACAGCCCAUACAUGGGAGUUCAUGAAAGGUAUACUGCCACCUGCAAAUAUCUUGUACGAAGUACUUAUAUUACCCUCAAAUAAAUAUAUCUUGUAUUUGUUUCUUUUUGAUUUCCUUCUUGCACUUACGUCUAUCUCUACAUUCACACAACAACUCUUUUAUUGGAUUACGGACAAAGUUCGAUUUCCCUUCCAUGCCAGUUCUAUGGAGAAACAAAUGCGGAGCUGCUCUUUUUUGUGCCGAAUGAUAGGGACCCUUCCCAGUUGAUGCAAUACAUCAACUAUGUUAUUCCAGCUUCCCUAAUUCUUGUAGGUCAAGCAGCUAACCUCAUGUACACCAUAAACACCAUUAGCUUAUCUGUGCAAAUUAGUUUCAGGUAUCGUUUCAAACUUGUAUGUGAAGUGAACUCGUGUAACCAAAACAUGUAUCUGCUACUUUAUUGUGUUUCCGUCAAGAAAAACCAAAGGAAUAAGGUUUUGCAAGUUACAUA